rnacentral:rRNA from 1 species
AUGGCAGCAUUCAGGGAUGUACUUCUGACAUGUGAAUUGGUUGAUCUGGGCUUCAGUGGAGUUCCAUAUACGUAUGAUAAUAUGAGAGCGAGAUCUGCAAAUGUAUGAGUUCGAAUCGACCACACGGUGGCCACAAACCCGUGGAAGAACAUGUUUCCGUUUACUUCAGUGUAACAUUUGGUGUCACUCAACUCGGACCAUGUCCCUUUGCUGGUGCAGGGUGUAGCGGAACAACUAAGGACAACUGCAAAGUCACGGAGAUAUGAAAUCUUCCGGGAGCGGGAUGCUGGCUUGCCCGAUAUCAUUAAACAGACCUGGAGCACCUUUGAAAGUAUGGAGAAUCUUGGUCAGGUUAAUGAUGCACUUAGAUCAACCAUGUCUUCCCUCAAAUUAUGGAGUAACAAGAAAUUUGGGAACAUCACAAAGGAAAUAAACAAAACUCAUACUAGACUUGAAGAGUUGAUGAACAUGAAUGUUGAUAGGCUAGAAAUAAGGGAAGCUUCUGACAGACUUAGUGAAAUGAUCUACAAAGAAGAAGUGCUAUGGCUACAAAGAUCUCGGAUCACAUGGCAAAAAUAG